CUUGACAUCCAGCGAACUUGGCAGAGAUGCCUUGGUGCCUUCGGGAACGCUGAGACAGGUGCUGCAUGGCUGUCGUCAGCUCGUGUUGUGAAAUGUUGGGUUAAGUCCGCAACGAGCGCAACCCUUAUCCUUUGUUGCCAGCGAUUCGGUCGGGAACUCAAAGGAGACUGCCGGUGAUAAACCGGAGGAAGGUGGGGAUGACGUCAAGUCAUCAUGGCCCUUACGAGUAGGGCUACACACGUGCUACAAUGGCGCAUACAAAGAGAAGCGACCUCGCGAGAGCAAGCGGACCUCAUAAAGUGCGUCGUAGUCCGGAUCGGAGUCUGCAACUCGACUCCGUGAAGUCGGAAUCGCUAGUAAUCGUGGAUCAGAAUGCCACGGUGAAUACGUUCCCGGGCCUUGUACACACCGCCCGUCACACCAUGGGAGUGGGUUGCAAAAGAAGUAGGUAGCUUAACCCUCGGGAGGGCGCUUACCACUUUGUGAUUCAUGACUGGGGUGAAGUCGUAACAAGGUAGGCGUAGACGU
rnacentral:rRNA from 1 species